rnacentral:tRNA from 1 species
CCGGAGUGCAAAUCCGGAACCCGCCACCCUAUAAGGUGCCGGGGCUUCUCCCGUUU